GGGCUCAAAACUAAAGAACCUAAAUAUCUAAACGGAGAAAUUCAAUAUUACCUUUAAAGUAAUGUGCACUUUUCUCUUAGUAAGACGCCGUGAUCCAUUAGAAAUUGGUGUACGCCAGUACACAGUGGGUCAUCAAUAGGCCAGUGUGAAGUUUAUUGGAACAAAUGGCAUGAUCAUUCACGGUCGUGUGUAUUGUCUGGUAAGCGCACUGAUGACUGUCUGAUGGAUUUUAGAGACCGUGUCCGAUCAACGGCGGUUAAAUUUGGGAUACCUUUUGGACCCGUCUUGAAACACGGACCAAGGAGUCUAUCUAGUAUGCGAGUAAAUGGAUAAUUUUGAAAUCUAUUUGCGUAAUAAACUUGACUGUUUAUGGGAUUACGAUUAAUACUUGUGCAAUUAUUUUUCUUCCAUCCCGGGGUAUUUUCGUCUAUAUGGGAAAUAUACCAUGAGCACACUGGAUACGACCCGAAAGAUGGUGAACUAUGCCUGAUCAGGUCGAAGUCAGGGGAAACCCUGAUGGAGGACCGAAGCAGUUCUGACGUGCAAAUCGAUUGUCAGAAUUGGGCAUAGGGGCGAAAGACCAAUCGAACCAUC
rnacentral:rRNA from 1 species